AGUGAACGCUGGCGGUAGGCCUAACACAUGCAAGUCGAACGGCAGCACAGGAGAGCUUGCUCUCUGGGUGGCGAGUGGCGGACGGGUGAGGAAUACAUCGGAAUCUACUCUGUCGUGGGGGAUAACGUAGGGAAACUUACGCUAAUACCGCAUACGACCUACGGGUGAAAGCAGGGGAUCUUCGGACCUUGCGCGAUUGAAUGAGCCGAUGUCGGAUUAGCUAGUUGGCGGGGUAAAGGCCCACCAAGGCGACGAUCCGUAGCUGGUCUGAGAGGAUGAUCAGCCACACUGGAACUGAGACACGGUCCAGACUCCUACGGGAGGCAGCAGUGGGGAAUAUUGGACAAUGGGCGCAAGCCUGAUCCAGCCAUACCGCGUGGGUGAAGAAGGCCUUCGGGUUGUAAAGCCCUUUUGUUGGGAAAGAAAUCCAGCUGGUUAAUACCCGGUUGGGAUGACGGUACCCAAAGAAUAAGCACCGGCUAACUUCGUGUCAGCAGCCGCGGUAAUACGAAGGGUGCAAGCGUUACUCGGAAUUACUGGGCGUAAAGCGUGCGUAGGUGGUUAUUUAAGUCCGUUGUGAAAGCCCUGGGCUCAACCUGGGAACUGCAGUGGAUACUGGAUGACUAGAAUGUGGUAGAGGGUAGCGGAAUUCCUGGUGUAGCAGUGAAAUGCGUAGAGAUCAGGAGGAACAUCCAUGGCGAAGGCAGCUACCUGGACCAACAUUGACACUGAGGCACGAAAGCGUGGGGAGCAAACAGG
rnacentral:rRNA from 1 species